rnacentral:rRNA from 1 species
CAACCGCCGCGGUAAUACGUAGGGUGCAAGCGUUAAUCGGAAUUACUGGGCGUAAAGCGUGCGCAGGCGGUUAUAUAAGACAGAUGUGAAAUCCCCGGGCUCAACCUGGGAACUGCAUUUGUGACUGUAUAGCUAGAGUACGGCAGAGGGGGAUGGAAUUCCGCGUGUAGCAGUGAAAUGCGUAGAUAUGCGGAGGAACACCGAUGGCGAAGGCAAUCCCCUGGGCCUGUACUGACGCUCAUGCACGAAAGCGUGGGGAGCAAACAGGAUUAGAUACCCCCGUAGUCCCUGUCUCUUAUAC